UCAGGACGAACGCUGGCGGCGUGCUUAACACAUGCAAGUCGAACGGAACUAUUAUGGAAAAUCUUCGGAUGGGAAGUUUAGUUUAGUGGCGAACGGGUGAGUAACGCGUGAGGAACCUGCCUUUCAGAGGGGGACAACAGUUGGAAACGACUGCUAAUACCGCAUAAUAUGUUUCUUUCGCAUGAAAGGAACAUCAAAGAUUUUAUCGCUGAAAGAUGGCCUCGCGUCUGAUUAGAUAGUUGGUGGGGUAACGGCCUACCAAGUCGACGAUCAGUAGCCGGACUGAGAGGUUGAACGGCCACAUUGGGACUGAGAUACGGCCCAGACUCCUACGGGAGGCAGCAGUGGGGAAUAUUGGGCAAUGGGCGCCAAGCCUGACCCAGCAACGCCGCGUGAAGGAAGAAGGCUUUCGGGUUGUAAACUUCUUUUACCAGGGACGAAGGAUGUGACGGUACCUGGAGAAAAAGCCACGGCUAACUACGUGCCAGCCGCAGC
rnacentral:rRNA from 1 species